GGGCCCGCACAAGCGGUGGAGUAUGUGGUUUAAUUCGACGCAACGCGAAGAACCUUACCUGGUCUUGACAUCCUCAGAACUUUCCAGAAAUGGAUUGGUGCCUUCGGGAACUGAGUGACAGGUGCUGCAUGGCUGUCGUCAGCUCGUGUCGUGAGAUGUUGGGUUAAGUCCCGUAACGAGCGCAACCCUUGUCCUUAUUUGCCAUCAUUUAGUUGGGCACUCUAAAGAGACUGCCGGUGAUAAGCCGGAGGAAGGUGGGGACGACGUCAAGUCCUCAUGGCCCUUACGGGAUGGGCUACACACGUGCUACAAUGGCAGUGACAAUGGGUUAAUCCCCAAAAGCUGUCUCAGUUCGGAUUGAGGUCUGAAACUCGACCUCAUGAAGUCGGAAUCGCUAGUAAUCG
rnacentral:rRNA from 1 species